GAGCUCUCAAUUUAGCAACACAUGUACUAAAAUUAAAACCGUACAAAGAUUAGAAUGGCCCCUGCACAACAAUGAUGACACCCAAAUCCAUAAAUUGUUCUAUGUUUCC
ensembl:snRNA U6 U6 spliceosomal RNA